GUCGAGGGGCAUCAUGGGCGGUCGCUUGCGACCGCUGAUGGCGACCCGUUCACGGGUGCGUAACGCGUAUCGAACCUGCCGCAUACCCGGGGAUAGCCUUGCGAAAGCAAGAUUAAUACCCGAUGUUCUCACUGUUCCGCAUGUUACGGUGAGCAAAGAAUUUCGGUAUGCGAUGGCGAUGCGUCCCAUUAGCUAGUUGGCGGGGUAACGGCCCACCAAGGCUCCGAUGGGUAGGGGUUCUGAGAGGAAGGUCCCCCACACUGGAACUGAGACACGGUCCAGACUCCUACGGGAGGCAGCAGUGAGGAAUAUUGGUCAAUGGGCGGGAGCCUGAACCAGCCAUGCCGCGUGAAGGCGAGUGCCCUACGGGCGUUAAACUUCUUUUGUGCGGGAGCAAUAAGGGCCACGCGUGGCCCGAUGAGAGUACCGCACGAAUAAGCAUCGGCUAACUUCGUGCCAGCGCCGCGGUAAUACGGGGGAUGCGAGCGUUAUCCGGAUUUAUUGGGUUUAAAGGGUGCGUAGGCGGCGCUUCAGGUCAGCGGUGAAAUACCGGGGCUCAACCCCGGGGCUGCCGUUGAAACCGGAGCGCUAGAAUUCCGAUGCCGUCGGAGGAAUGUGUGGUGUAGCGGUGAAAUGCAUAGAUAUCACACAGAACACCGAUUGCGAAGGCAUCUGACGAAUCGGAGAUUGACGCUGAUGCACGAAAGCGUGGGUAUCGAACAGGAUUAGAUACCCUGGUAGUCCACGCUGUAAACGAUGAUGACUAGCCGUCGGCGANACAGUGUCGGUGGUCAAGCGAAAGCGAUNAGUCAUCCACCUGGGGAGUACGGC
rnacentral:rRNA from 1 species